rnacentral:rRNA from 1 species
AAUAUUGGACAAUGGGGGCAACCCUGAUCCAGCCAUGCCGCGUGUGUGAAUAAGGUCUUCGGAUUGUAAAGCACUUUAAGUUGGGAGGAAGGGUUGUAGAUUAAUACUCUGCAAUUUUGACGUUACCAACAGAAUAAGCACCGACUAACUUCGUGCCAGCAGCCGCGGUAAUACGAAGGGUGCAAGCGUUAAUCGGAAUUACUGGGCGUAAAGCGCGCGUAGGUGGUUCAGUAAGAUGGGUGUGAAAUCCCCGGGCUUAACCUGGGAACUGCUUUCAAAACUGGCAAGCUAGAGUAUGGCAGAGGGUGGUGGAAUUUCCUGUGUAGCGGUGAAAUGCGUAGAUAUAGGAAGGAACACCAGUGGCGAAGGCGACUACCUGGACUGAUACUGACACUGAGGUGCGAAAGCGUGGGGAGCAAAC